AUGGGGGUGCGCAGAGCAGUCCGUAGCCCAAGUCUCUCGGGUAAACACGCCCGGCAGGGGCAGGGCCGGCGGCGCGCGCAGCGGGGAAGUUGGCGGGGACGCCCCCUCCUUUACCUGUCCGAGCCUGCACGCGCGGGCGGCCUCGGCGCCGCGGAGGCGGGGCUUGCCAGCCCGCGCGCCGGGCGGGACUUAGCGGGGGCGGAGCCCACGGUGAUUGGGCCCGGACCUGGGGCCGCCAGCCUGAGCUGGGCAGCAGAGGCGCGCAGGUUUCACUUCGCUCCGCGCAGCCGCCAGGUCUCGGUCUUGCAGGAGCGCUCUGUCCUACUUCGCCGUCGCCGCCGCUGUCCUCGGAUUCUCGCAACCGCCCUGCGCGCCCUGCCCUCUGCGGCCAGCACCGUUUCAGACUGCUUGGGUUCGCCUCGCUCUCGCCGCCGCCGCCGCAGCCGCAGCCGGUGCCACCGCCUCGGUGCCGUUCCCGUGGCCCUCGUCCCCCCAAUGUCUGACCCUAAUUCACGAACUGAGAAACGCAAGGCCGAAGUUUUGGGCUGCUGCUGCGUUCGUUCUCUCUCUGGGACGUGUCUGGGGACACUGCCCCGUCUGCGGGCGCUCUGCGGACGAUGCCAGACCCAAGAUCCACAAACAGCAAAAGACAAGAGGGCCUCCUCCGACCGCCGGGGGCACGCGGUGGACGAGCCAGUGGCUGUAGAACCGGCCCGGUCCGUGGGUCCCGACCCUCUUAGCGAUUCGGGUGUGCUCAAGCGCCGCUCGAUCCAUUCGCAGUGCUGGCUGGCUGGCUGGCUGUACCGUGCCCUCGGGGGCCUGUUACUCGGGGUUGGCGCAGGUAGUGGAAUGCCCGCUGGACCCCGGCGAUGCCCCCAUCGGCGGUGGUCGCGGUUGUGCGCGUCGGUGGCCAUUUGGUGCGUGUCCCGUGGCGCAUGGGGAGAAAGAGGGAGGAAGUCGGGGGAGGAUGGGGGCUUCGGCUGGGGAGAGGGUGGCCUUUAGGGUGCCCACCCCAGCGGGCCUGGACUGGGGUCGGCGGCCGGGGCUGGAGUCUGGGGCCGGCCCUGCGGGUCCUGUUUUGUCUCCAGGUGACCGGCUCUUGGGGGCGGCGGGAGCAGCAGAGGCGGGCGCGGCGCCAGGACUGACGGAGGGGCGGGGCAGGGUUGGCUGGGCAGCCCCGGGCCCAGAAGCCCCGGAAACCUCCGCCGCCGCUCCCGCGGCAGUCAGGGCCCGAGCCGCGUUCGGAGGCGAGUUUGUCAACAAUCGCCUCGCCUUCGGCGGCCUAUUGGGCA
ensembl:lncRNA